rnacentral:rRNA from 2 species
CUAUACAUGCAGUCGAGCGGACAGAAGGGAGCUUGCUCCCGGAUGUUAGCGGCGGACGGGCGUAUGCAUACACGUGGGUAACCUGCCUGUAAGACUGGGAUAACUCCGUGGAAACCGGAGCUAAUACCGGAUAGUUCCUUGAACCGCAUGGUUCAAGGAUGAAAGACGGUUUCGGCUGUCACUUACAGAUGGACCCGCGGCGCAUUAGCUAGUUGGUGGGGUAAUGGCUCACCAAGGCGACGAUGCGUAGCCGACCUGAGAGGGUGAUCGGCCACACUGGGACUGAGACACGGCCCAGACUCCUACGGGAGGCAGCAGUAGGGAAUCUUCCGCAAUGGACGAAAGUCUGACGGAGCAACGCCGCGUGAGUGAUGAAGGUUUUCGGAUCGUAAAGCUCUGUUGUUAGGGAAGAACAAGUGCGAGAGUAACUGCUCGCACCUUGACGGUACCUAACCAGAAAGCCACGGCUAACUACGUGCCAGCAGCCGCGGUAAUACGUAGGUGGCAAGCGUUGUCCGGAAUUAUUGGGCGUAAAGGGCUCGCAGGCGGUUUCUUAAGUCUGAUGUGAAAGCCCCCGGCUCAACCGGGGAGGGUCAUUGGAAACUGGGAAACUUGAGUGCAGAAGAGGAGAGUGGAAUUCCACGUGUAGCGGUGAAAUGCGUAGAGAUGUGGAGGAACACCAGUGGCGAAGGCGACUCUCUGGUCUGUAACUGACGCUGAAGAAGCGA